UACGUAGGGUGCAAGCGUUAAUCGGAAUUACUGGGCGUAAAGCGUGCGCAGGCGGUUGUGCAAGUCCGGUGUGAAAUCCCCGGGCUUAACCUGGGAACUGCACUUGUGACUGCACAGCUGGAGUACGGCAGAGGGGGAUGGAAUUCCGCGUGUAGCAGUGAAAUGCGUAGAUAUGCGGAGGAACACCGAUGGCGAAGGCAGUCCCCUGGGCCUGUACUGACGCUCAUGCACGAAAGCGUGGGGAGCAAACAGG
rnacentral:rRNA from 1 species